GAUCCAUCCCAGUGCAGAUCAGCAUCCAACAAAUCCCUCACGAGCGUCUCGAUCGAGCAAGCAGCUGAAGCCAUAUGGCUCGCCAGGCCACAGCCCUCUUCGCAUCUGCGCUGCUGCUGCUGGCAGUAGCCUUCAUGUCUCAUGAUUCUGGUGUGGAAGCGUGGUGCCUGGAGUACCCUUCGCCGGACCCCAACUCCUGCCACGGAAGCGACGGCCUUCGUUACUGCCGCGACUUGUGCGUGGGGGUCGGCAAUGGCUUCGUCGGCGGGGAGUGCAAUAAGGGCACCUGCUACUGCCUCAAGUGCGCCGACGAGCCACCACCGGCGUCGCGUGCUCUGUAGGGCUCAUGUAGAGUCUGCAACGGAUGCAUGCAUUAGGAGUGUUUUCGUAUAAGAAAGAUGAAGUUUCAAUUCAUAAACCAUGCAGUCUGAGUUGCAGUGGUCUGAGUAACAUUC
rnacentral:lncRNA from 7 species